rnacentral:rRNA from 1 species
UACGUAGGGGGCAAGCGUUGUCCGGAUUUAUUGGGCGUAAAGAGCGUGUAGGCGGCCAGGUAGGUCCGUUGUGAAAACUCGAGGCUCAACCUCGAGACGUCGAUGGAAACCAUCUAGCUAGAGUCCGGAAGAGGAGAGUGGAAUUCCUGGUGUAGCGGUGAAAUGCGCAGAUAUCAGGAGGAACACCUAUUGCGAAGGCAGCUCGCUGGGACGUUACUGACGCUGAGACGCGAAAGCGUGGGGAGCAAACAGG